rnacentral:rRNA from 2 species
UUCGGUGGUCAUAGCGUAGGGGAAACGCCCGGUUACAUUCCGAACCCGGAAGCUAAGCCUU